rnacentral:rRNA from 1 species
AGGGUGUAAACGCUGCAGACUUGGUGUUGGAGGCCCUUUGGGGGCAUUCAGUGCCGGAGAGAAGUUGUUAAGUCUGCUACUUGGGGAGUACGUCCGCAAGGAUGAAACUUAAAGGAAUUGGCGGGGGAGCACCGCAACGGGAGGAGCGUGCGGUUUAAUUGGAUUCAACGCCGAAAAACUCACCAGGGAAGACUGUUACAUGAAAGCCGAGAUGAAGACUCUGCUAGAUUUUCAGAGAGGUGGUGCAUGGCGUCAGUGACU